UGGGGAAUCUUGGACAAUGGGGGCAACCCUGAUCCAGCAAUGCCGCGUGUGGGAUGAAGGCCUUCGGGUUGUAAACCACUUUUGGCGGGGGCGAAAUAUCGAGUGCUAAUACCAUUCGGUGAUGACGGUACCCGCAGAAUAAGCACCGGCUAACUACGUGCCAGCAGCCGCGGUAAUACGUAGGGUGCAAGCGUUAAUCGGAAUUACUGGGCGUAAAGCGUGCGCAGGCGGUUAAGUAAGACAGAUGUGAAAUUCCCGGGCUCAACCUGGGAACUGCAUUUGUGACUGCUUGACUAGAGUGCGGCAGAGGGGAGUGGAAUUCCGCGUGUAGCAGUGAAAUGCGUAGAUAUGCGGAGGAACACCGAUGGCGAAGGCAACUCCCUGGGCCUGCACUGACGCUCAUGCACGAAAGCGUGGGGAGCAAACAGGAUUAGAUACCCUGGUAGUCCACGCCCUAAACGAUGUCGACUAGUUGUUGGACGGGUUACUGUUCAGUAACGUAGCUAACGCG
rnacentral:rRNA from 1 species